ACAUACGCCGUCGACUACUCGCUAGUGGAUAUGUGUGGGGGACAUUCCACGUUUUCCGCGCCGUAGCUAACGCAUUAAGUGCCCCGCCUGGGGAGUACGGCCGCAAGGCUAAAACUCAAAGGAAUUGACGGGGGCCCGCACAAGCGGCGGAGCAUGCGGAUUAAUUCGAUGCAACGCGAAGAACCUUACCAAGGCUUGACAUGGGCCGGACCGGGCUGGAAACAGUCCUUCCCCUUUGGGGCCGGUUCACAGGUGGUGCAUGGUUGUCGUCAGCUCGUGUCGUGAGAUGUUGGGUUAAGUCCCGCAACGAGCGCAACCCUCGUUCCAUGUUGCCAGCGCGUAAUGGCGGGGACUCAUGGGAGACUGCCGGGGUCAACUCGGAGGAAGGUGGGGGAUGACG
rnacentral:rRNA from 1 species